CCUACGGGUGGCAGCAGUGGGGAAUAUUGCACAAUGGGGGAAACCCUGAUGCAGCGACGCCGCGUGAGUGAAGAAGUAAUUCGUUAUGUAAAGCUCUAUCAGCAGGGAAGAAAAUGACGGUACCUGAGUAAGAAGCCCCGGCUAACUACGUGCCAGCAGCCGCGGUAAUAAGUAGGGGGCAAGCGUUAUCCGGAUUUACUGGGUGUAAAGGGAGCGGAGACGGAAGUGCAAGUCUGGAGUGUAAGGCGGGGGCUCAACCCCCGGACUGCUCUGGAAACUGUACGGCUGGAGUGCAGGAGAGGUAAGUGGAAUUCCUGGUGUAGCGGUGAAAUGCGUAGAUAUUAGGAGGAACACCAGUGGCGAAGGCGGGUUACUGGACUGUAACUGACGUUGAGGCUCGAAAGCGUGGGGAGCAAACGGGAUUAGAUACCCCUGUAGUC
rnacentral:rRNA from 1 species